GUUGACACUAUCCUUUUGACUAUGAAUUUGUCUAAGUGUUUGUAGGGCUGUUACAAACACUAAUUCAGAAACUGAUUCAGAAACUAAUUCAUUCUGCCUGUCUCUCUCACACACCCUGAGGUUAAAAUAUGAUCUCCGCGUACUAGGCACUUUAUUUUAAUCACGUGCAUCUCCUACAUUUAAAAUCAGCUGCAGAAAACAAGGCAGAAAGCAUCCUCAGCCCCUCCGUUUAACAACUGGGACAAGCAACUCAGAGGAUCCUGCCGUGGCUCCAACGUUAACACAACUCCCCGUAUUCCUGGAAAUUCAUUGCAGCAGAAAUUAAAGCAGGAGAGUACACCACGGAUCCAUCCGUAGCAGCGUAUGAUAUCGCCUCGAACAAUGGCCAAGCCUGCUUGCUUUGCACAAGAAGGGGCUGAUUUUAUGGCAGGCGAUGGCGGUACACGUGUUGUCAACCCAGCAUCAGGCGUACGCAGAUCUGUGUAGCACAGACGGCUGGCUCAGAUUAUUUUCUCCCCUGCCUCCUCACUUACUUUUUGGAGAGCUCCACACAGAAGAACCACAACACGGCGAGUGGCAGCACAGCAGCAAAGCACAGCAUCACGUUUUUCCCAGUGGAGUGACAGGCUGAGCCCCAACGGAGCAAGCUGCUGGGCAUGGGGACUGGCAGCCUGCAUCCUGGAGCAGCAUCACCUGGGAUUUCUUCAAAGGAAAGCAGUCUGCCUCCUAACACAGUCAGCUACAUCUACACCUCAGCCAUAGUGACUUUGGGAUCUGUGGCUGCAGCGUGGGGACUGUAGCAAAGAAAUUGCAGGCACAGGGAAGUCUCCGAGUGUCUGACAUGAUCACUGGCCUGUGGCACCUGCAACAGCAGAGAAAAAUUGUUGAAAUGUCGUGUAGUUCCUGACACCAAAGUGUGUCUGUGCUCUGGGGAAUGCCAAUAGGAAUUUAGAGAGGGGAUCAAAGUGGGUGUUUGGCCAGAGGCACGAAAGGAGAGUUGUGUAAAUGAUAAUAAUAACUUCCAUGGGGAUUUGUGAACCUGUCCACCCAGCUCUCAAACUCACUGAAAUCAGUACUUUCACAGCUCUUUGUCACUUCUGGAGUCCAACUCUUUGAGCUGUUCUGACCCAUUUUGUCAGACAGCAAAAAACCCCAACCAACCAAAAAAAAAACCCACCAAGCCCACUAUUUUGAGUAGUUUGUCAGCACUUUGUAUAAGCAUUACUGAUAAGGGGUUCAGCAGUUGCUAGCUUCUCAAUCCUUUUAUGAAAUAUGUUUUUAUUGCACUUGAAAUAAAGAGGAGUUGGUAUACA
rnacentral:lncRNA from 1 species